UAUAAUAUUUUUGUCAUUCCGAAGACAGCAGGAGCAUUGCGUAAACGACACGGUCGUCCUGCCGAGGGUGCGUUUAGAGCUUUACUGCUUUUGCGCCUUCAUGUCGUUCGGCAUGAAGGCGCUUUUGAUUGGAAGCA
rfam:Clostridium sp. SCN 57-10 ABT01_C0087, whole genome shotgun sequence.